AGGCAGCAGUGAGGAAUAUUGGUCAAUGGACGGAAGUCUGAACCAGCCAUGCCGCGUGAAGGAUGAAGGCGUUCUGCGUUGUAAACUUCUUUUAUCUGGGAAGAAACCACAGAUUUCUAUUUGUGUUGACGGUACCAGAAGAAUAAGCACCGGCUAACUCCGUGCCAGCAGCCGCGGUAAUACGGAGGGUGCGAGCGUUAUCCGGAUUUACUGGGUUUAAAGGGUGCGUAGGCGGGCUAUUAAGUCAGAGGUGAAAUCUCCGGGCUCAACCUGGAAACUGCCUUUGAUACUAUUAGCCUUGAAUUAUGUUGAGGUUGGCGGAAUAUAACAUGUAGCGGUGAAAUGCUUAGAUAUGUUAUGGAACACCGAUUGCGAAGGCAGCUGGCUAAACAUAUAUUGACGCUGAUGCACGAAAGCGUGGGUAGCGAACAGGAUUAGAUACCCUGGUAGUCCACGCCCUAAACGAUGAUUACUCGUCAUUUGUGAUACACCAAUAAGUGACCAAGCGAAA
rnacentral:rRNA from 1 species